AUUGAACGCUGGCGGCAGGCCUAACACAUGCAAGUCGAGCGGAUGAAGGGAGCUUGCUCCUGGAUUCAGCGGCGGACGGGUGAGUAAUGCCUAGGAAUUUGCCUGGUAGUGGGGGAUAACGUCCGGAAACGGGCGCUAAUACCCCAUACGUCCUGAGGGAGAAAGUGGGGGAUUUUCGGACCUCACGCUAUCAGAUGAGCCUAGGUCGGAUUAGCUAGUUGGUGGGGUAAAGGCCUACCAAGGCGACGAUCCGUAACUGGUCUGAGAGGAUGAUCAGUCACACUGGAACUGAGACACGGUCCAGACUCCUACGGGAGGCAGCAGUGGGGAAUAUUGGACAAUGGGCGAAAGCCUGAUCCAGCCAUGCCGCGUGUGUGAAGAAGGUCUUCGGAUUGUAAAGCACUUUAAGUUGGGAGGAAGGGCAGUAAGUUAAUACCUUGCUGUUUUGACGUUACCAACAGAAUAAGCACCGGCUAACUUCGUG
rnacentral:rRNA from 1 species